ACUCAAAUGAAUAGACGGGGGCCCGCACAAGCAGCGGAGCGUGUGGUUUAAUUCGAUGCAACGCGCAGAACCUUACCUGGGCUUGACAUGACGGUGCAAGCGCUGGAAACAGCGCCCUCCUUCGGGACACCGCCACAGAUGUUGCAUGGCUGUCGUCAGCUCGUGUCGUGAGAUGUUGGGUUAAGUCCCGCAACGAGCGCAACCCUCGUGCUGUGUUGGCUUUUUCACAGCAGACCGCCCCGCAAGGGGAGGAAGGUGGGGAUGACGUCAAGUCCGCAUGGCUCUUACGUCCAGGGCGACACACACGCUACAAUGGCCGGGACAAUGCGCAGCCACGGGGCGACCCGGAGCGAAUCGCCGAAACCCGGUCUCAGUUCGGAUGGCAGGCUGCAACCCGCCUGCCUGAAGUCGGAGUUGCUAGUAACCGCGUGUCAGCACAGCGCGGUGAAUAUGUUCCCGGGCCUUGUACACACCGCCCGU
rnacentral:rRNA from 1 species